CGGAAACAAAAAAACUGAUGUGGAGGGCUAAAAAUCUGACGUGGAGGGGUUUUCUGAGUUUUCCACCCUUUAUAAUAACGAACCAAACAGCCCCUUAACAAAUAUGUGGAGAAGCUGUGAUGAUUUGCCAACAGAAGUGUGAAUUAUGUCGGUUUUGGUGUAGGGUUAGGAUUAGUAUUUUUGUUUAGGGUUUAGGUGAUUAUUUAUCAAAUUCUCUCUUUCUGUCUCUGCAGCUUUCUACUGUGAUGGCGAGGCAAUUGUUGAAAAUAUAUCAUGUUGUUAACUUUGCAGCCAUUUUCUAGAUCUGCAGAUCUAAAGAGUGGAAAGAGUUGGUUUUUCCUAGCAAAUCUAUUUUCUCAUAAAAGGGCGAAUCUGAGCUCUCCACCAACUUUUCACGAUUUCUCUUUUUAUUUUUCUUUGUUUUUCUGUGAGUAACCCAUUUUCUUGACCACCCAUAAUGAGUUUUGAUUUUAAUCAACAAAGUGUCAGCGACAGAGUGGCCCCCUCCAAUCCUAGCCCCGAAAGCCUAAUUCUUGAGCCAAAGCUCAAAGCCCAUAAGCCAUAGGCCUUUGGCCUCUCUGAAGUUUGAAUCCUGGCUACGCUCUUGUAAGUGUAAUUUUCAUUCUCAUUUUAGACCAAGAAGUGUUUUUGUUGGAGCUAUGUCAUUAAUUCAGUCUACAGCCUGAUGUCAGGUUUUUUUUAUUUAAUACAUUUCUUUAUUUCUGUCUAACAGCGCAGUGAACUCUUCCUACAGACGAUUGCCACUGUAAGUAAUCAUACCAAAAAUUAUUGCUAAAGACUUAUAAUGUAUCCUUAAUUUUCACAUUAGUUCAUUUGCAAACAGGAUAAUACAUUUUAAAACUUUCUCAUGUCUGGUUUCUUAACAUUAUAUAGGCACAAAAAUUAGAUUGCGAAGGUGAAUGUUUCUCGCAGUAUUUACUAGUGAACAUUAUCAUCUGCAGGCUAUUAUUAGCUAAUGAUAAGGGUUAAGAAAAUGAAUGACGUUCAGAAUAUGCCCAACUAUAGUAUCACUUCCAUUUUCCUUCUGGAGUUGUUAAAUCAGACGGAAGAAUUUCAUUAUGUGGAAAUGUAGUUGCGGAUAAAAGGUGCUUUUAUAUUGGAUUAAAAUAAAUACUUCUCAGGUGUCUUGACUUGGGCUGAAUGGAGGCUAGUCAGUUGAUGUUUGGUGGUAGUUUGAUCAUGUUGAAGUUUUGGCUAUUCAACGAUAUGCAUACGGGCGAUCAUAAUAUUUGUGUUUUCUUAGCUACAUCCUUGGCCUAAAUGCUGUAGGAACUUUCUUUUUCCAAUCACUUUGACCUAUGUCUGCUGGCUAUGUGGGGGAGGAGGUCCAAUAGCUUCAAAUGCCACACAAUCUUUUUUCUGCUGUAAAGAGAAGCUGUGCAAGUACUCUGUCGGCUUUAUACAUGCUAAAUUGUCAUGCAAAUUAACUCAAAAGAACGUGAACUCUAGGCUUAUGGUGUAUUCAUUUAUAAUGGCCAGAUUUAUUGUGAGAUGGUAUUUAUUUGCUCCUCAAAAUGGUAUUUGAUGCAACUGAAUUCA